rnacentral:rRNA from 1 species
AUUGAACGCUGGCGGAAUGCUUUACACAUGCAAGUCGAACGGUAGAGGGGGCAACCCCUCGAGAGUGGCGAACGGGUGAGUAAUAUAUCGGAACGUGCCCAGUCGUGGGGGAUAACGUAGCGAAAGUUACGCUAAUACCGCAUACGAUCUAAGGAUGAAAGCGGGGGAUCGCAAGACCUCGCGCGAUUGGAGCGGCCGAUAUCAGAUUAGGUAGUUGGUGGGGUAAAGGCUCACCAAGCCAACGAUCUGUAGCUGGUCUGAGAGGACGACCAGCCACACUGGAACUGAGACACGGUUCAGACUCCUACGGGAGGCAGCAGUGGGGAAUUUUGGACAAUGGACGCAAGUCUGAUCCAGCCAUUCCGCGUGCAGGAUGAAGGCCCUCGGGUUGUAAACUGUUUUUGUACGGAACGAAAAGGUCUCUCUUAAUACGGGGGGCUCAUGACGGUACCGUAAGAAUAAGCACCGGCUAACUACGUGCCAGCCGCCGCGGUAA